GACAGAGGGGGCAAGCGUUGUCCGGAAUUACUGGGCGUACAGCGCACGCAGGUGGUCGGGUAAGUGUCGGGUGAAAGCCCCGCGCUCAACGCGGGGAGGCCUCGGCCGACUGCUCGACUGGAGGGCUGCAGAGGGUCGUGGAAUUGCCGGUGUAGUGGUGAAAUGCGUAGAGAUCGGCAGGAACACCAAGGGCGAAAGCAGCGACCUGGGCAGACCCUGACACUCAGGUGCGACAGCGUGGGGAGCGAACCGG
rnacentral:rRNA from 1 species